rnacentral:rRNA from 1 species
GAUGAACGCUGGCGGCGUGCCUAAUACAUGCAAGUCGAGCGAACAGACGAGGAGCUUGCUCCUUUGACGUUAGCGGCGGACGGGUGAGUAACACGUAGGUAACCUACCUAUAAGACUGGGAUAACUUUGGGAAACCGGAGCUAAUACCGGAUAAUAUUUCGAACCGCAUGGUUCGAUAGUGAAAGAUGGCUUUGCUAUCACUUAUAGAUGGACCUGCGCCGUAUUAGCUAGUUGGUAAGGUAACGGCUUACCAAGGCAACGAUACGUAGCCGACCUGAGAGGGUGAUCGGCCACACUGGAACUGAGACACGGUCCAGACUCCUACGGGAGGCAGCAGUAGGGAAUCUUCCGCAAUGGGCGAAAGCCUGACGGAGCAACGCCGCGUGAGUGAUGAAGGUCUUCGGAUCGUAAAACUCUGUUAUUAGGGAAGAACAAACGUGUAAGUAACUGUGCACGUCUUGACGGUACCUAAUCAGAAAGCCACGGCUAACUACGUG